GGGCUUCGCCGGGGGCCUCUAGGGUUUUGAAGUCCUUAGGGGGGUGUUCAAUUCAUCCGUAGCCCG
rnacentral:tRNA from 1 species